AGUUGAUGAUGACCUGGCAUGUAUUCUGAAUCUAAAGUUGACUAUUGGACUUC
ensembl:snoRNA